UCGCGAAAACUUUACAAUGCUGGCAACAGCGAUAAGGCAACCUCGAGUGCCAGGUUACAAAUCUGGCUGUCGAGAUGCCUAAAAAUCAUUUCAUAGCAAGAGCCGGGCAAGACCGGUGCCAGCCGCCACGGUAACACCAGCAGCUCGAGUGGUAACCGUUAUUAUUGGGUCUAAAGGGUCUGUAGCCGGCCAGAUAAGUCUCUUGAGAAAUCUGGCAGCUUAACUGUCAGGCUUUCAGGAGAUACUGGCUGGCUCGAGGCCGGGAGAGGUGAGAGGUACUUCAGGGGUAGGGGUGAAAUCUUGUAAUCCCUGAAGGAAUACCCGUGGCGAAGGCGUCCUACCAGAACGGACCUGACGGUAAGGGACGAAAGCUAGGGGCACGAACC
rnacentral:rRNA from 1 species